GGACACAUGGUCUAAUGGAAAGACACCGGCUAAGAUUUCACCUCGUCUGCCGGGAUAGCGGUUCGAUUCCGCUUGUGUCUA
rnacentral:tRNA from 1 species